UCCUACGGGGCGCAGCAGUGAGGAAUAUUGGUCAAUGGGCGGGAGCCUGAACCAGCCAAGUCGCGUGAGGGAAGACGGUCCUAUGGAUUGUAAACCUCUUUUGUCGGAGAACAAAACCCGGGACGUGUCCCGGACUGCGUGUAUCCGAAGAAAAAGCAUCGGCUAACUCCGUGCCAGCAGCCGCGGUAAUACGGAGGAUGCGAGCGUUAUCCGGAUUUAUUGGGUUCAAAGGGUGCGUAGGCGGUCCGUUAAGUCAGCGGUAAAAUUGCGGGGCUCAACCCCGUCGAGCCGUUGAAACUGGCAGA
rnacentral:rRNA from 1 species